rnacentral:rRNA from 3 species
GGGUUGUGAGGUUAAGCGACUAAGCGUACACGGUGGAUGCCCUGGCAGUCAGAGGCGAUGAAGGGCGUGCUAAUCUGCGAUAAGCGCCGGUAAGGUGAUAUGAACCGUUAUAACCGGCGAUACCCGAAUGGGGAAACCCAGUGUGAUUCGUCACACUAUCAUUAACUGAAUCCAUAGGUUAAUGAGGCGAACCGGGGGAACUGAAACAUCUAAGUACCCCGAGGAAAAGAAAUCAACCGAGAUUCCCCCAGUAGCGGCGAGCGAACGGGGAGGAGCCCAGAGCCUGAAUCAGCAUGUGUGUUAGUGGAAGCGUCUGGAAAGGCGCGCGAUACAGGGUGACAGCCCCGUACACAAAAGCGCAUGUGCUGUGAGCUCGAUGAGUAGGGCGGGACACGUGGUAUCCUGUCUGAAUAUGGGGGGACCAUCCUCCAAGGCUAAAUACUCCUGACUGACCGAUAGUGAACCAGUACCGUGAGGGAAAGGCGAAAAGAACCCCGGCGAGGGGAGUGAAAAAGAACCUGAAACCGUGUACGUACAAGCAGUGGGAGCCCCACCACCAAAGCAUUCUCUGGUGUUGAAGGCCCUGCAAAGCAGCAUCGCGGUGGCGGAGCGUCGUUUGCGACGCCCAACACACAAAACAAGCGGUGAAUGCUUUGGGGUGGGGUGACUGCGUACCUUUUGUAUAAUGGGUCAGCGACUUAUAUUCUGUAGCAAGGUUAACCGAAUAGGGGAGCCGGAGGGAAACCGAGUCUUAAUUGGGCGUUAAGUUGCAGGGUAUAGACCCGAAACCCGGUGAUCUAGCCAUGGGCAGGUUGAAGGUUGGGUAACACUAACUGGAGGACCGAACCGACUAAUGUUGAAAAAUUAGCGGAUGACCUGUGGCUGGGGGUGAAAGGCCAAUCAAACCGGGAGAUAGCUGGUUCUCCCCGAAAGCUAUUUAGGUAGCGCCUCGUGAAUUCAUCUCCGGGGGUAGAGCACUGUUUCGGCUAGGGGGCCAUCCCGGCUUACCAACCCGAUGCAAACUGCGAAUACCGGAGAAUGUUAUCACGGGAGACACACGGCGGGUGCUAACGUCCGUCGUGAAGAGGGAAACAACCCAGACCGCCAGCUAAGGUCCCAAAGUCAUGGUUAAGUGGGAAACGAUGUGGGAAGGCCCAGACAGCCAGGAUGUUGGCUUAGAAGCAGCCAUCAUUUAAAGAAAGCGUAAUAGCUCACUGGUCGAGUCGGCCUGCGCGGAAGAUGUAACGGGGCUAAACCAUGCACCGAAGCUGCGGCAGCGAACGUAUCACCCAAGACAACUUUACGGAGUUGACGAUUGACGGAGCGAAGCGACGUCAAAGCGUUCAUUAAAGUCGAGUUGGCUUAGGGAUACGUUCGUUGGGUAGGGGAGCGUUCUGUAAGCCUGUGAAGGUGUGUCGUGAGGCAUGCUGGAGGUAUCAGAAGUGCGAAUGCUGACAUAAGUAACGAUAAAGCGGGUGAAAAGCCCGCUCGCCGGAAGACCAAGGGUUCCUGUCCAACGUUAAUCGGGGCAGGGUGAGUCGACCCCUAAGGCGAGGCCGAAAGGCGUAGUCGAUGGGAAACGGGUUAAUAUUCCCGUACUUGGUGUUACUGCGAAGGGGGGACGGAGAAGGCUAUGUUGGCCGGGCGACGGUUGUCCCGGUUUAAGCGUGUAGGUGUGUGUUCCAGGUAAAUCCGGUUCACUUUAACACUGAGGCGUGACGACGAGGCACUACGGUGCUGAAGCAACAAAUGCCCUGCUUCCAGGAAAAGCCUCUAAGCAUCAGGUAACAUCAAAUCGUACCCCAAACCGACACAGGUGGUCAGGUAGAGAAUACCAAGGCGCUUGAGAGAACUCGGGUGAAGGAACUAGGCAAAAUGGUGCCGUAACUUCGGGAGAAGGCACGCUGACACGUAGGUGAAGUGAUUUACUCAUGGAGCUGAAGUCAGUCGAAGAUACCAGCUGGCUGCAACUGUUUAUUAAAAACACAGCACUGUGCAAACACGAAAGUGGACGUAUACGGUGUGACGCCUGCCCGGUGCCGGAAGGUUAAUUGAUGGGGUCAGCGCAAGCGAAGCUCCUGAUCGAAGCCCCGGUAAACGGCGGCCGUAACUAUAACGGUCCUAAGGUAGCGAAAUUCCUUGUCGGGUAAGUUCCGACCUGCACGAAUGGCGUAAUGAUGGCCAGGCUGUCUCCACCCGAGACUCAGUGAAAUUGAACUCGCUGUGAAGAUGCAGUGUACCCGCGGCAAGACGGAAAGACCCCGUGAACCUUUACUAUAGCUUGACACUGAACAUUGAGCCUUGAUGUGUAGGAUAGGUGGGAGGCUUUGAAGUGUGGACGCCAGUCUGCAUGGAGCCGACCUUGAAAUACCACCCUUUAAUGUUUGAUGUUCUAACGUGGACCCGUAAUCCGGGUUGCGGACAGUGUCUGGUGGGUAGUUUGACUGGGGCGGUCUCCUCCUAAAGAGUAACGGAGGAGCACGAAGGUUGGCUAAUCCUGGUCGGACAUCAGGAGGUUAGUGCAAUGGCAUAAGCCAGCUUGACUGCGAGCGUGACGGCGCGAGCAGGUGCGAAAGCAGGUCAUAGUGAUCCGGUGGUUCUGAAUGGAAGGGCCAUCGCUCAACGGAUAAAAGGUACUCCGGGGAUAACAGGCUGAUACCGCCCAAGAGUUCAUAUCGACGGCGGUGUUUGGCACCUCGAUGUCGGCUCAUCACAUCCUGGGGCUGAAGUAGGUCCCAAGGGUAUGGCUGUUCGCCAUUUAAAGUGGUACGCGAGCUGGGUUUAGAACGUCGUGAGACAGUUCGGUCCCUAUCUGCCGUGGGCGCUGGAGAACUGAGGGGGGCUGCUCCUAGUACGAGAGGACCGGAGUGGACGCAUCACUGGUGUUCGGGUUGUCAUGCCAAUGGCACUGCCCGGUAGCUAAAUGCGGAAGAGAUAAGUGCUGAAAGCAUCUAAGCACGAAACUUGCCCCGAGAUGAGUUCUCCCUGAGACUUAGAGUCUCCUGAAGGAACGUUGAAGACGACGACGUUGAUAGGCCGGGUGUGUAAGCGCAGCGAUGCGUUGAGCUAACCGGUACUAAUGAACCGUGAGGCUUAACCUUACAACGCCGAAG